GAGCAAACGGGUGCCUGUGAGAAUAGUAGAUGCCAACAUACCACAGGAAAAGCCACCUCUAUCUCUCGGUGCCCCAGCAGCUUUGAUAUCUGUGCUCUAGCAUCUAUGCUCCCUGCUGUUGUAACCACUGAACCUGAGCUUUGUCUUGCAAAUGAUUCUCAGUCCAGAGCCAGCAGCAGCCCCAUAUACCCUGCCUUGUAGCCAGCCUCUCUGCUAGUAGCCCUCUGAUCUAACCCUGCAGCAACCCACCUGCCUACACAACCUGUUUUACUCAUUGCAAGCGCAACAAAGAGGCUUUACCAAAUGCUCUUUGGUGGUUUUUGUGUCAGUCACCUCAGUGUGCAAGACCUCUAGCACAAGAAAGCUGUGACCUAAAUAGUCCAUCUACAUCCAAACCUCCCAUGAAGAAACACUAGCUUCAUUGACUGAUCCACCACAGCUGGAGUCAAAAAUGGCUCAAGAGAGAGAAUUGAGGACUUUCAAGUCUGAGGACAGGGUCUAGGGGAUGAAAGCUUUGCUGAAGAAGAAGCAUCUGUGGGAGGCUGUUAUUCUGCUCUCCUCCCCCCUGUGGAUUACAGACAAUAUAGAAAUGCGAACAGGCUUCCUUGUAAUGCACAGGAAGUCAAACAGAUAACAGACUCAAAGAGACCACAACAUGAUUCAUAAAAGGCCUAGAAGAAUUGGGGUGACAGCACUGGUGCUAAAUAUAAUCCUGCUGAAGCACAGCCUCUUCAGCAAGGAGAAUGAGGAGGCUGCAGCCACAGAGAGGCACAGCAGAUAGUAAGCCCCAGGAAAAUACAGGGGACUCACACAGGCUGAGGGCAGUGGAGCUGCUGGGAGCUCACUGCACAACUUGCAGUCGGGAUCCUAAACAUUGAGAGAUAAAGCUUUCUCAGGAAGUCAUCUCAGGUUAUUGGGUGCCCUGCUCUGCUGUUUCAUAAGCCAAAAUCCCCUGGGCCUCUCAUCUUCCUGGGAAAAGAGGAAGUGGCACCAAGUGUCUUGGAAAUUGUCUUAGUGUGGCACUCACAUGCAAAAUAAAUGCUAUAAAUAUGAGUGGGGAAAAAGGGGAAGAAACAAGACAAGACAGACAAAAGGAAAAGAGGACAAAGGCAGUCAUCUUGGAUUCCAUGUGGUUCUUUCCUGCCAUGACAAUGGCUCAGAUAGACCAGCCUUCCCAAAACUUGGUCUUCCCCCCAUCCUGUCUGGUUGGGUUUCUAUGUGCUAAGUGACGCAAGGCUUGUGCCCCAUCCCUCCUGCAGCCAUGAGGAGAGGCCACCGCACCUUUGUGGGGAAAGCACUGGGCCAGCAGCCAGCACAAAGAUGGGGAUGGGAACUGCCUGUUUUCCCUCCCUGCUCUGCAAAGAGCCCUCAUGGGGAGCUGAAAGAAGCUGACUGCUGCUGUGGCCAGUCAAGAGGGGAAGAAAACCUGUGGGACCCGGCAGCUUGAAACAGACAAACCUGAAUGCGAGAGGGGAAAAAAAAAGACACAAUCCCCCAUUCAGUCGCUUUGCUGCUUGUUUGGUGAGCAGAGCUUGGGCUUUCAGCUUAUUUUGUGCUGUAUUACUGCAGCAGGACUUACCUGAGGAACCUCCCUGUCCCCCACCCCAUACGCAGAGCCUGUGGUGUCUGGUUGCUUUGCUUCAGUUGUUCCAUGUCUACCGAAGCAGCCUAACACAUCUCAAAGGGACCUGAGGCUCCCAGAGGGCACCAUCUCACCCACACGACCCCCACGGAGACUGUAAAUAACUCUGUCCCCCUUCCUCCUGAACACCUGAAAACCCCAUGUCCCAAGUGAUUUACCUGGCUGGUGUGUUAGAGUGAGAAAUGUGUGGGAAAGACUGUGUUGGGGGAGAAAAGGCAUGUGAGUCAUGGAGAAGGGGAGGGAAUGAAAUGAUAGAUAAAUAAGAUAGGGUGAAAUAGAAAGGAAAAUAACACAUGGAGCAAAAUUUCAGAGCAAUUUAGAUUAAAGUGCAGAAAGGGUCCUUGUAAGGUUUUCUAAGGUUUUCUAAGCUAAGUCUCUGAUUUCUUCAGAAAAUAAUUCUGAGGUCAGUUCCUGUGUGCUACUCUGCUCCCUAACAGGAGGCUUAACACUCUGCUCAAGGUUAUUUUGAGGCUCUUCAUCAAGAUUACUGUGUGCAUUGGGGUCUAUAAUUAGGGGAAGUGAAUGCAAAAAAAGCUCGUUUGGGGAACUGUCCACAGUAAGGCACAGAAAAUUGCAGAGGCAGCUGGGCGAGCAGCAGAGAACAGGAGCAGACUGCUUUGCCUCUCCUUCCUUUUCCACUUUCAAAAUGAGCCACACCAGCAGGAGAGGGAGGUUCUGAGUGAAUCGGGCUCACUCCCAAGCCGUGCAAUGCCAAGGGAAUUCAGCCCUGCACCAGAAGACUGAAGAAUGGCUUCAGUGUCAUCAAAGUCCUCAGUACCAGCAAGUUCCACUUCUUUCUAGGACUAGAUCAGGACACAGAUGAAGCAUAGCCCUUUUCAGGGUUCUCUGCACAAGGGAAAUUUUAUGCUGAUGAAGAGCACCCACAGAUGCGCAUAAAAACACCCACAGGUUUCAGGGGGAUGCUGUCACCCAAACCAGCUCUGCAGUCUGCUGGCCUAUGCACAGCUCACUACGUCAAUACUGGCUGGCAUCCUCUACAGAAAGGACUUGAAGUUGCUGCUUGGAAUUUAUUUUCAGCCUCCCCAUCUAGAGGGCAGGACAGAGUUACCCCAAAGUCUGGGUGCUCAUGUGGCCAGCAAAGAGCACUGUGGUGGGUGAGUUCAUUUUGCAUUGACAUGAGCUGUCCAGAGCUGCCUAUGUGCUAAGUGAGGCCUUCAAUCCCAGGUAAAAAUAUAUGCAUGACCAUAUAGCAGUUGGAGUGGGACGUGAGCACAUAGGAGAGCUGAAGGAUGGACUCCAGAAAUAGCAAAGGAAGGUUAUCAGGGAUGUCUGUGUCUGUAGAAUGGAUACUGACCAUCCACAUGCUACCCACACGUGUUACGACAGCACAGGCCCAUUUGUGAGGCAGUGCAGGCCUCCAAAUGUGGCUGCUAAAGGGCUUAGGCACAUCCACCCAUGGCAACACAUGAGCUGAGCAUUCUGGUUGGCACCUUCUGCCUGGAUGAGGCUGUCUGAUAGGGGAAUUUCACCUGAACUUCCAUUCCUUCUUUGAUAUGGCUUUUGUGUCACCUCCACUGCAGACUAUCACUGGUCCCAGUGCCAGGCUGGUAGCAGAAAGUCCUCCAGUUCCCCAGUUCCCUCCAGUCCAACCUGUCUCCCUCCUGCAGCCAACCCUCAGUUCUUUGCCAGCCUGAGCCAGAAGAAAUUCAAGACGGAUCUCACACAGGUAGAAUUUGCACAUUCCAGCUACAGAGGGAAAGAUGUGAAGAGGAGUUUCUGUUGUUCAUUAGCCAGAGCUGAGCAAAUCCACACUUCCUCUGCAGGAUCCCAUUGCGCUACCACAGUGUGUAACUUUUAAGACAAAUAGCUUGUUGGUACAUAACUUGAGUGAAAGACCAUCUGUAAGAAGCUCUCCGCCUCCUUCUGCCUGGUUGGUCCUGCAGCAACUUGGUCCACCAUUUCUUUCAGGUAGUGAGGACCAGUUGCUCUCAAGAGAGCUGCCUCCACCAAUAUGCAUAGCCAGAUGCCUGCAAAAGCUCUGCUCCCACAGGUCCUACCAAUUUCCCUGGCAAGCAAGCCCAGUAUGCUGUUUUUUCAUGCUCUUUCCUUGUUUACCCACCUAGGAGCUAUCUCUUUUCUACAUCAUAUACACAAGAGCUGACCAGGACAGAGGAUGAGUCACAGCAGAGUCAUUGUGAGAUCAUCCCUUUUCUUCCUGGUGCUUACUGAGCCCAUAUGCUAUCGUCUCCCUCUGUCCUCUGCAUUUGCUCAGCUGUGAACUGAGGAGGAAAGAAGUCCUCUCUGAGGCUCAGCGAUACAUCUGCCAUUGGAAGAGCUGGAACUAGAGGUUCAUUGCUGUUACUGGAGAGGACAAGUGUUUUAACAAACCUGCAAUGACAAGUGGGAGAUAUCAGAACACUGAAGGCAUUUUGUCAAGAAGAAAAAGAAAUUCAGACUGGCUUCACACAUGCAGCUGUAAACAAGGUCACAAAUAAUCUUUCAUCAUUAGGAAGAGUUGGUGACAAAGAUUCAGCACUCACUUGCUGUGGUCAGGGUCAAUAUUUUAGAGAACAAGCAAAGAGCUUAUUUGGAAGAGAUAAAAGGCAGAAGAAGAAAGAAAGCCUUACUAUGCAAACUGUUUUUGAAUUAUCAUACCCAUGUCAGCCUUGACCUUCAGCACACACAGCUUCUUAAAGUUUAUCAGAAGCCUGCCUUUGGAUCACACCUUGCCAAGAGCCCAGUCUUAAGAGAUUUCACCUAUUUCGGGAUUUCAAGCUGCAUCAGAAAAGAAUUCACUGCCCCACAGCCGAUGUGCUAAUUCCUGCACUGGGUUUGGGUCCAGCAUUUCACCUCCAGUACUGACAUCAUUUUUUUCCCAUUUAAAAUAAAUAAAAAAUGUUUCAGCAGUGUUUCAGCUGACAUCAGUCAGUCAUGCCAGCCUAUGCCACUGUCUUGAAAGAGCUAAUUUAACUGCUGCAAGCAUAUGUGACAUAUAUAGGCAGCUUGGUCAGAGCUGUUCAUAUACGUGUGUUUGUGGC